AAUUGCCUUGAGUCACAGGCAGCAGGAACGCCAAAGAAGUGGGACCUGGGAGGGCUGCUGCUGCCGCUGCUGCAUCUAAUCACGGUUCCCCGUCCCCUUGCCUAAGCCUCCCCGGCACAGCGCCCCCGAAAGCGCCUACCGACUCGGCCUCCUCCGCAUCUUCAGCCCUUCGAUCACCACCCGCACCCCCAACCCCCCACCGCCUCAUGCAAAUCGCUGAUGAUUUGGUCAUCGUAAUGUGACCGGUCCUAGUGGUUUAUUUGGGGAGUGGGGGAGUUGGUUGUGUUGGGCUUCCUUACUACGCCUCCCUCAGUUGCUGCGAGUGAAAAUGUUCCAGGGAAAUACUAGUGAAAUGCACUGAUGGAAUACUAUUAAUCCUAAUGAUAAUGGUCCCAACGCAGGAACUGCUGAUUAUUUUAAAGUCCCACUACCUUGCAGAUCACUACUUUACCUUGAUUUGGAAGAUCAUGGAAUAUCUAUUUGAAUCCUGGAUGUAUUUUUCUCACAGACUUCUUGCUUCCUGAAAUUUCCUCUGGUAAGUUAUUCUCUUUAUCUGU
rnacentral:sRNA from 1 species